UCAUUAACACCGCAAAAUAUCAUUUAUAAGAUUAUCCACAUAAAAGAUUUAAAUUUGAAGGAAAAGAGGAAUAAAAGUAUGGAUUAUCCACAUAAAAAAAAAAAAAAAAAAAAAAAAAGACAUGGAACUGUUGAUUCACACAAUAAGAUCCACAAAGUAUUUCGUUGCAGAAUCUUUACAAGCCUUGGAGGAACAUCCAGGCACAUCUUGAAACUGAUUCGCCGGUAAUUUCUUAGACAAAGCUCCAACAAAGAAUUGAAGCAUACCAGAAGGGGAAUCAACUUCCAUCCCGGUAACAGGGAGCCAGAUGAAGAGCAUCUUGGCCUGAAUCCCAGACACGCCGGAAACGGAACCGUAAGUGAGGGUUCCGGUGACGAGGGUGUCGUAGUAGACUAAUUGACCGGAGAAGCGAACGUAACAGGGGGAUUGGAGAUGGAGGGUGAAGUAACCAGAUGGGGAGAGGGUGUAGGAGGCGAUGUUGUUGGGAAGGAUUCCCUUUGGGAAACCGUAAUCGGGGAGGAGGUCGUGGAUGUCUGAGGGAAGGGUUGUGGCUGUUGCAUGGUAUAUGAAUAGGAAUGUUGAGAAGAAUUGAAAGAAGGUUUUCAAGGUUCUGGUGGACAUUGUAAUUGUUGGGGAAUGAGUUGACUCUGCCGAUAAUAAUUGAUAUGAAUUUGGUGUUUAUGGGUUGGAAACGGGUAAAUAAGGAUUUUUGCUUAUUCCUCAACAAAAUAAAUAUAUGCAUUUUUGCUGCUUUUAUACCAAAAUUCUUUUUUAUUUGAUAGAUGUGCAUGGUAACAUACUUUAACUAUAUAU
rnacentral:lncRNA from 1 species